rnacentral:misc_RNA from 1 species
GGAAAUUCAAAAGCAGUCGGCAGAUUCCGGCACAUGCGUUCCGGAAUCGGAUCGUUGCGUUGAUGGUUCGUUAUCCGGGAGCGAAUUUGGAACGAGAUGUUGCACAUUUUAUAAUUUUCGCAUUGACCAAAUGAUAGUUAAUUUUAAUUUGUAAUAAGGAGAAAGAAAUUUUUUUUUCUGAGAGUUGAAUAGAUAAUAACUUCGAUGUUUUUUCCAAGUUUCUUUCCUGUCGUAUCGUGCUGGCUGGUCGUGGCCUUAAAUUUCAAAAUUUCUCUGGCAGUUCAGAUUCGUCGGCUGUCCGUUCCCCGCUGGGUAGAAAAUGGCACAGAAAGCUUCGUGACACUUGACUGUGAUUAUGUAUACAAUGAGAAUGAUAUUCAACUCGUAGUGAAAUGGUUCUUUGAAGAGAAUCUCCAACCAGUCUACCAGUGGAUACCUGAGUUAGGUGUAAGGCACACGUCUGGAAUAUUAAGUGACAGACUUGAUCUCAACUACACCGUCAAUACCGUGGAUGCCUAUCAAAGGUUCAGAGCUCUCAAAAUAACUCAACCUUCAAUCGAGCUAAGUGGUAAAUACACCUGCUUGGUAACUUCUCUAGCAGGACAGGACUCAAGAGCACAAUUCAUGACAGUUUUUGUACCAGCUCAAACGAUGGACGUAAAAUUCCAAAGAAACUCGAAUUAUCUAAACGUCAGCUGUGAGGCUACAGGUCUUUAUCCCAGACCAAAGAUUAAUCUCUACAGAAUCUUACCCAAAGAAAGGACACCGUCAGUGGUGAAAGAUGCUCAGACUUUUAUCGCCAAUUCAAAGGACACUUAUAACACAACGCUGUAUAAAAGCUUCGACCACCAGGAGCUUCUGAUGCCUGGGACAUCUGGCUUCGAAUGUGUUGUUGAAAUUCCAGGAACAAAUUAUCAAAGGAGAAAAAGAGUUGCCUACUAUGCAGGUAUGUCCCAAAUCUGACGAGCAGCCAGCAUUGCCACAGCCCCCAAAAUUUCAUAGUUAUAUUUCUCAUUGUUGCAUCAGGAUUAUGUAUCCUGCAUAGAAAAUUUUAGUUCUACC